CUCUCUCUCUCUCUCUCUCUCUCUCUCUCUCAUUGCUUAGCUUAGGUAUAGGCUACAAGCAACAUGGAGGUUGAGUACCAAGAGGGUCACAUUAGGAAUGCAAGAGGAGUGAAGCUCUUUACGUGUAGAUGGCUACCACUUUCAUCUUCACCCAAGGCCCUUGUCUUCCUUUGCCAUGGGUAUGGCAUGGAAUGUAGUGAAUUCAUGAGAGGUACUAUUAUAAGAAAUUUUAUUCAUUUGUAGUUAUGGCUCG